UCAGCUCAUACCUCUCACACCACAUCUUUCUAUAUUUUCAUUUCUCAUAGUUUAGAAUUCAUACUCCAUUCAUUCUUAAUGGAAGAUUUUAGGAGAUGAUUGGAGAGGCAAAAGCGAGAAACAAAUGAGAGAAACCGUAGAGCAGAUGAAAUCAAUGAGUUGCAGAGACAAGUCGAUGAACAAGUUGUCAUAGCAGUGGCUUUGCAAGAUGAAGAGAACCAAGGUCGCCGCCGUGGUUCACAAGUCGGCCGCCGCCGGAAUGUGGACAGACAUAGGC
rnacentral:lncRNA from 1 species